CACAACUUCGAUUGGAUUGGAUUGCUUACUGCAAUGAAACCAAUAGAGCAAGUACAAAAAAAUAAAGGGACGGGCAUGGCGCAAACUUCAAACAUCCGUGAGAUUGAAAUCCUUUUACUAGAAGAUGAAACGAUCCGGAUCACGCUAUGGGGGAUAUUUUAGCAAAUACGGUGAAUGAAAGUCUUUUGCACAAACAAAUAAUAGUGAUUGUCACGUCAAAUUUGGGCUAUCACUACGCACAACAAAUGCAUCUAAAGUCUUCCUCAACCCUGAAAUUCCAGAAGCAGGCCAAAUUAUUGAGAGGUAUUGUGAAAGAGAUGUUAUUCCAACAAUGAUUCAAAUCGACGAAAGCACCCAAGGAACGAUUGAAGAGCAAAUGUUGUACAACAGAAAAACAUUGAGGGAAAUUAUAGAACUGCGAUAUGCUGACGUUAAAAG